GACGAACGCUGGCGGCGUGCUUAACACAUGCAAGUCGUACGACAGCAUUUCCUUUUAGGUUGUGUUUGGAGUGGCGAACGGGUGAGUAACACGUGAGUGACCUGCCCUUCACUUUGGGAUAACGUGCGGAAACGUGCGCUAAUACCAAAUAUUCGCAUUUCUGCUGCAUGGUGGGGUGUGGAAAGGGGCCUUCGGGUUCUGGUGGGGGAGUGGGCUACCAAGGCGACGACGGGUAGCCGGCCUGAGAGGGCGACCGGCCACACUGGGACUGAGACACGGCCCAGACUCCUACGGGAGGCAGCAGUGGGGAAUCUUGCGCAAUGGGCGAAAGCCUGACGCAGCGACGCCGCGUGAGGGAUGAC
rnacentral:rRNA from 1 species